AUGACGCUGAUCAAUUAGUGCCAUGAUUUUCUAUUAGCAUUUUUGGUCCGACUUAGGUUAGAAAAUACUUCACUAUUGACAUUACUAUCAAUAGGAGAGCACGAACAUCAUUACUUUAAUCCAGAUUCGUGCAAAUUGGGCCGAAAACGCUAUAUGCUUCAUAGUAAAGAUGCCCAUUUCAGUGUAUAUAUAGUUCAGUGAUGGUACACUUAAUUUUAUGUUAUUGUAUAUUGAAAUCAUGACAAAUCAAGAAAAGAGAUGAUGGCGUCUGCCAAUCAGUAAUACUGUUUUUUCAAUUUGUAGACUUCUCAGUUAUUUCAAGAAUUCAAGAAUACUAAUCAUGAAGAAUUUUAUUUUUUUAUACAAGAAUGAUAUCUGAUAGAUUUGAUUAGCUUUUGGAAAAGACAAAAUCUUAUCUAUCUAAAAUAUAGCAGGAGAUAUUCAUUUCCAUCAAAAUUGAAACUGACUGCCACUCUGGGAUAUCUUGUCCCCAAAGAUAAUGUAUAGUCAAAGAAGUGAUCUUUUUUUAUUGUUACUUUUUUUAUUGGUUACUCAAUAGUAAUAAGAUUAACCCUGAGAUAUGCGAUUAUAAAAGCUCUACAGCCAAUAUAUUUACCACCCAAGAGACAAGAGAGGAUUGACGUAAUGUAGUUGAUUUUAUGAGAAGUAGAAUUUCCCUAAUUGGUGUAAGAAUCUAGACUCCAAAAAACUCAAGCCGUCUCUUCUUCAAUAGCAAGAAAUUUUUUUCAAUUGUUCUCAUGGCAAUCUGCGAUACAGAUUAUGUUUUCAAAAAGAUGGACUAUGGUAUGUAUUAGUCAGCAUAAAUAGUGAUAUUUUUAGUAACUAUCCGAACUGGUUUAUAAAUAAAACUAUUAACAAAGAAAGGCCAAUGAGAGCAAAAUUGCAGUCAAUAAGCGUAUACAUUCAUAUUUUCUCAAUACAUAUACAUUCUUCUCAAUACAUAUAAUACAUUAAGAUCUUAACAAGAACACAGGACUAACAAACACAUUUACAAAUACAUUUACAA